GUGCUCACUUCAGCAGCAUAUAUACUAAAAUUGGAACAAUGCAGAGAUUAUCAUGGCUCCUGCCCAAGGAUGAUAUGUGAAUUCAUGAAGUGUUCCAUGUUUUU
ensembl:snRNA U6 U6 spliceosomal RNA